rnacentral:rRNA from 1 species
GGUUAAGCGACUAAGCGUACACGGUGGAUGCCCUGGCAGUCAGAGGCGAUGAAGGGCGUGCUAAUCUGCGAUAAGCGCCGGUAAGGUGAUAUGAACCGUUAUAACCGGCGAUACCCGAAUGGGGAAACCCAGUGUGACUCGUCACACUAUCAUUAACUGAAUCCAUAGGUUAAUGAGGCGAACCGGGGGAACUGAAACAUCUAAGUACCCCGAGGAAAAGAAAUCAACCGAGAUUCCCCCAGUAGCGGCGAGCGAACGGGGAGGAGCCCAGAGCCUGAAUCAGCAUGUGUGUUAGUGGAAGCGUCUGGAAAGGCGCGCGAUACAGGGUGACAGCCCCGUACACAAAAGCGCAUGUGCUGUGAGCUCGAUGAGUAGGGCGGGACACGUGGUAUCCUGUCUGAAUAUGGGGGGACCAUCCUCCAAGGCUAAAUACUCCUGACUGACCGAUAGUGAACCAGUACCGUGAGGGAAAGGCGAAAAGAACCCCGGCGAGGGGAGUGAAAAAGAACCUGAAACCGUGUACGUACAAGCAGUGGGAGCACAGGUUUACCUGUGUGACUGCGUACCUUUUGUAUAAUGGGUCAGCGACUUAUAUUCUGUAGCAAGGUUAACCGCAUAGGGGAGCCGGAGGGAAACCGAGUCUUAAUUGGGCGUUAAGUUGCAGGGUAUAGACCCGAAACCCGGUGAUCUAGCCAUGGGCAGGUUGAAGGUUGGGUAACACUAACUGGAGGACCGAACCGACUAAUGUUGAAAAAUUAGCGGAUGACCUGUGGCUGGGGGUGAAAGGCCAAUCAAACCGGGAGAUAGCUGGUUCUCCCCGAAAGCUAUUUAGGUAGCGCCUCGUGAAUUCAUCUCCGGGGGUAGAGCACUGUUUCGGCUAGGGGGCCAUCCCGGCUUACCAACCCGAUGCAAACUGCGAAUACCGGAGAAUGUUAUCACGGGAGACACACGGCGGGUGCUAACGUCCGUCGUGAAGAGGGAAACAACCCAGACCGCCAGCUAAGGUCCCAAAGUCAUGGUUAAGUGGGAAACGAUGUGGGAAGGCCCAGACAGCCAGGAUGUUGGCUUAGAAGCAGCCAUCAUUUAAAGAAAGCGUAAUAGCUCACUGGUCGAGUCGGCCUGCGCGGAAGAUGUAACGGGGCUAAACCAUGCACCGAAGCUGCGGCAGCGAACGUAUCACUUAAAGCGAUUCAGCGGGUUACGAUUGACGGAGCGAAGCGACGUCAAAGCGUAUACAAAGUCGAGUCGGUUUAAGGAUACGUUCGUUGGGUAGGGGAGCGUUCUGUAAGCCUGCGAAGGUGGCCUGUGAGGGUUGCUGGAGGUAUCAGAAGUGCGAAUGCUGACAUAAGUAACGAUAAAGCGGGUGAAAAGCCCGCUCGCCGGAAGACCAAGGGUUCCUGUCCAACGUU